rfam:Gossypium hirsutum cultivar TM-1 unplaced genomic scaffold scaffold2269.1, whole genome shotgun sequence
UGUUAAAAUUUCAUAUGUUUUGUAUUGUUAAAAAUUAGUGUAUCUGACGGAAUAACUAGAUAACGAUACGUGAUGUGUGACGUGUACUUUAUGCAGACAUACAAAGAUCAAUUUUUAACAGUAGAAAUGGAUAGAAUUUUUAACA